AAGUUCUCUCUCUCUCUCUCUCUCUGCGCUAUAUUCUUGGCAUUUACUCUUCCUCACACACCAGCCUCCAUUUCAGUUCUCACGUUAACUUCUUACAAAACACAACAAACAAACCUCACACAACCCUUCUUCUUCUCUCUCUCCUUUAUCUCAGUAACAAAACAUUGAUUUUUUUCACACACACAAACACAAACACAAGCACUGACAGAGACAGUUUUUUAGAGAGAGAGAGAAAGUAAAGCUCCGAUUCAAACUACGAUCGGAGGUCUAUUAUAGUCAAAAGGGUCAUCCCAGAAGUUCAAAUCGGAGUUGGGAUCGGAGAGAUGAACGGAGUUGGGAGACAAGGGCAGAGAUCUGGUGCGGCAGGGGUACACCAUCAGCGUCAGUACUCAGAUAACUUUCUUGAAAGCUCCUCCAAUGGCCGCUGGCUCCAAUCCACUGGUCUUCAACACCUCUACUCUUCUUCUUCUUCUUCCUCCACCAACCCUUCUCUCCCUCCUCUUCAGCAGGACUAUGGAUUCUAUGGUGGCGGUGGUGGAGGUGGGCAAGGGUCUAGGAUGUAUAGGAAUGCGCAGAGGGGAUUCAAUGGUGGGAAUGAGUUUUUGUUGGAGCCUUCUACGCCGCCUGGGCCGGGUAAUUCUCGGUCCAGGAAGAACAAUGGCGGCGGCGGUGGUGGUGGCGAAGAUUCGCCCGGUGGCGACUUCAGUCCUGGACUUUUGGAUCUGCAUUCUUUCGAUACCGAGCUUCUGCCUGAGAUGCCAGUCUCUGGUCUGUAUGAUGGUGCUUCUCUGUAUCGUCCUGUUCGUGGCAGAAGCUUUGAUGAUUCGGAGCCUUACAUUAACAACAAACAAACCGGCAGAACUCGUGGCUUGCCGGAAAACAACCUCUUGAAAAGUUUUGCUGCAGAUAAAGAGAAAUCGAGUUCUGUAGCAAAGAUAAAAGUCGUGGUACGCAAGAGACCACUUAAUAAGAAGGAAUUAGCAAAGAAUGAGGAAGAUAUUAUAGAUACACAUUCUAAUUCUGUUACAGUUCAUGAGACCAAACUUAAGGUUGACCUCACAGAAUAUGUAGAGAAGCAUGAAUUUUUUUUUGAUGCAGUUCUGAAUGAAGAGGUCUCAAAUGAUGAGGUGUAUCGUGAGACUGUUGAGCCCAUAGUUCCCAUCAUUUUUCAACGCACAAAAGCAACUUGCUUUGCAUAUGGGCAAACAGGGAGUGGAAAAACUUAUACAAUGAAGCCAUUGCCCCUUAAGGCAUCACGUGAUAUCUUGAGGUUGAUGCACCAUACUUAUAGGAAUCAAGGGUUUCAGUUGUUUGUCAGCUUCUUUGAAAUUUAUGGAGGAAAACUUUUUGAUCUCCUCAAUGAUCGGAAAAAACUUUGCAUGAGAGAGGAUGGGAAGCAGCAAGUUUGCAUAGUCGGUUUGCAAGAGUACAAAGUAUCAGAUGUGGAAACCAUUAAGGAACUCAUUGAGAAAGGAAGUGCCACAAGAAGUACUGGAACAACGGGUGCAAAUGAAGAAUCCUCCCGUUCACAUGCCAUACUUCAGCUUGCUAUCAAGAGGUCUGUUGAUGGCAAUGAAUCAAAGCCACCUCGUGGUGUUGGAAAGCUCUCCUUUAUAGAUCUUGCUGGAAGUGAACGUGGUGCAGACACUACAGAUAAUGAUAAACAGACAAGAAUGGAAGGUGCUGAGAUCAAUAAGAGCUUACUUGCAUUAAAGGAAUGCAUUAGAGCUCUUGACAAUGACCAGGGUCAUAUUCCUUUCAGAGGCAGCAAAUUAACCGAAGUUUUGAGGGAUUCAUUUGUUGGUGACUCACGCACUGUUAUGAUAUCAUGCAUAUCUCCCAGCUCGGGAUCAUGUGAACAUACUCUGAACACAUUAAGAUAUGCUGACAGAGUGAAGAGCCUUUCGAAAGGAAACAAUCCUAAAAAGGAUAUAUUAUCAUCAACCUUCAACCUUAAGGAAUCAACAACUGUACCAUUGUCUUCAGUGCCUGCAUCCAACUUUGAGGAUGACAUAAUUGAUUCAUGGCCUGAACAAACUGAAAGAGAUGAUUUUGAUGCAACUGAGGAGUCAUAUGAGCAAGGGAAACCUUUAUGGAAGAAGAAUGGGAAGCUAGAGCCAUUCAAUCUCUCUACUUCCGAAGACAAAAUAAGGAAACCCAAUGGUCAGACUAAAUGGGGGGACCUGCCAAAAGUUGAACCCAAGAAGUCCCAUUCAGAUGAUGAUCUGAGUGCCCUCUUACAGGAGGAGGAAGAUCUUGUAAAUGCUCAUCGGAAACAAGUGGAGGAUACUAUGAAUAUUGUUAAAGAGGAGAUGAACCUACUGGUUGAUGCUGACCAACCUGGGAAUCAACUGGAUGAUUAUGUUUCUAGAUUGAAUACCAUUCUAUCUCAGAAGGCUGCAGGAAUCAUGCAACUACAAAAUCGUUUGGCUCAUUUCCAGAGGCGUUUGAAGGAGCAUAAUGUUUUAGUAUCUGCUUCUGGUUACUGAUUUCAUUUGGAAGGGCAAAUGCUAGUAAAAUUCUACUGGGUAAUGCUUUAAGAAUAUAAUUGCAAGGUUACUCAUAUUUAUGAAGCCACAAGCCAUAUGGCAUUCUUCAGCAGUGUGAUAUCAGAAAUUUUAACUCUAGAUGAAAGUCAUAAAGGACGUCUUUGUCAUCGCAUUGAAGGAGACAGCUAAACAAUGGCCACCCAUAAUGUGAAAAUAUAUGUGAAAUUAAUAAGCCUGAUAAUGAGGGGACAUUGAUCCGUGAAAAAAUGGUAAUGAAUCUUAUCCAACGUAACCUGUCCAAAGCCAAAAUCCGUGAACAGGAUUGAUUGAUUGUAUUCAGUUUGUAAUGAAUGUGAUACAUUAUGGAGCAUGUGGUACAGCUAAAUGUAAUGGACCAUGGAUCUGUUUUUUCCACCUACGCCAAAAUUUAACACUUGAGAAUCUA